rnacentral:lncRNA from 1 species
AGUAUACCGUGGAUAAGGACAAAAGUGGGGAGGGCAAUGGUUUUAUCAAAGUGAUACACACGACCCUGGGCUACGGAUCUAGCUAUGUCCUUUGGUCAUUGAGGGAAGUCCUUUAUAAGGUGUUGAGUGCUUGUGCACCGAUAGCAGACUGAUUAAUACACCAACAAGUUAGUUCACCAUGUGAACGACCAUAAUGUUGGCAUGGUUUUGAAGGUCGGACAGGUUGUCCAGUGAGUGGAGAUAGACUAGGGGGAGGGGCAACUCGGGGUCGUUUAUCA